AACAAACUGCUAAACAUUUUUUCUUGGCUCUGAAGAUGGUAAUGCAUGUAGCCGCAGGGUCUGGGUGGGUCUCCACCUGUCUUUCUUUUCACAAUCCCUCAAGGGGAACGCACACAAUUCUCUCAGGCUCAGGAGCAUCAGCCACCUU